GUAGUAACAAAACUAUGCAGAAGAGGUGAACAAUAGUGAUAAACCGUUAAUUCAUUGAUACUCAGUGUUACUAGCCAGAGAUGGCAUGUAGAGAAGAAAGAGUGCUGGUCUGGGGAUCAGAAGACCGAGAGCUCAUUCCUACUCAGUGACUCAGUGACUCGCAUACCCCGGUAAUGUCAGGCAAGAUGAUGAAUGAAGUUCUGGCAGCUUCCUGUGUCCCAGGCCUUGUAGAAAUAAAUGAGACCUGCUUCAAAGUUCUAAUGUGCAUCACAUCGGAUCUUGUUUAAGGAAGCAUUAAAAGGAACCCACCGAUACCUAUUGAGAAGGCUCUGUGCUCUCAGAAAUUGUUUCUGAUUGAAUCCAGAGGUUGCAAGCAUGCCUCCCUGUAUUACCUGUUGGAGCAGGUUUAAUUUUAUAAAUUUGAAACACAAACUCUAUGAGUUUCUAGUUCAUAAUUGUUCUUUUUGAGGAUCCACUCAGAUGAACAGUAUUGCAUCUGUGAUAGAUAUGCACUUCCACAGGACCAGAAUUGAUUGGAAUAUAAAUGGCAACAAGCUCCAUCUGUAGCAUCAUCCGGUACCAGUGAUGGAAAGGACAGAUUGCAAGGAAACCCUUCAGGGGGAAAAGUCAUAUUGUGUUGGAACUACAGAUUACUAGAAGUAUCGCUUUAGUAAACCAAGGCUUUUUUUCUUGAACACAAUGUGCAUAGACUGUGUAGUUCUUGACUGGUGGCUUUAAUCCAUUAUUGUUAGUCAUCUCCUUGGACACUCUCAAACGCUGAAAGUCUUAAGCUUUCGUUUAAAAACAAAAAUGCAGCUUUGAGAAAAUCCAGGGUUCGAUAGAGCCUUCCAGGUAUUUCCUUCCAACCUUCAUGUCCUGUUAUUACCAGUAGCAGAUACCCAGGUGGUAGAUGAGAAGCCUAGUGGGAGAGGAAGGAAUUGACGAUGAAUGGGCAUAUUACAUUGUAUCGUAAACAUACUUUAUAAGUACAUUUCUUAUUAUUAGCUUCUUAUUCAGGCAGAGAUUAUAAAAGUUUGUUACAAAUAUCCAGACCAGGAUUUGUGUUUUGGAAAUAAUCAGUGUUCACCAUACCUGCAGGGGAAAGGAAAAAGUACAAAAACUCAAAGAUGAGCACUCUUUACACAUAAAAGAAUAUUUUUAUCAUUCUUUUAUUUGUUUUGGCUCUGUCACAAAUUAAAGUGCUUGGAAUGCUGUAGUCUCUUGAAAUUUAAUCAAUGAGAACCUAACACUUUCACAGUAUGCUGUCACUUUGGACAUUCAUAAUAAAAAUUGAAACUAA
rnacentral:lncRNA from 1 species